rnacentral:hammerhead_ribozyme from 1 species
ACCCAGCUGACGAGUCCAAAAUGGGGUGAAAUGCAUAUCCUGGAU